GAUGAACGCUAGCGGCAGGCUUAAUACAUGCAAGUCGAGGGGCAUCAAGGUACACGAAAGUGUAUUGUUGGCGACCGGCGGACGGGUGAGUAAUAGGUAGGUAACCUACCUCAUACUGAGGCAUAGCUGGGAGAAAUUCCAGGUAAUUCCUCAUGAGGUUAUAUGACACAUGUGAUAUAAUCAAAGGUAUCGCAAGGUACUGGUAUGAGAUGGGCUUACUGACCAUUAGCUAGUUGGUGAGAUAAGAGCUCACCAAGGCGAAGAUGGUUAGGGGUUUUGAGAGAGAGAUCCCCCACAUUGGAACUGAGAUACGGUCCAGACUCCUACGGGAGGCAGCAGUAGGGAAUAUUGGGCAAUGGCGGAAGCCUGACCCAGCCAUGCCGCGUGAAGGAAGACGGCCUUAUGGGUUGUAAACUUCUUUACUAUGCGACUAACUAGAUUUACGGGAUAAUUCUAUAGAAUGUAGCAUAGCAAAAGCACGG
rnacentral:rRNA from 1 species